rnacentral:rRNA from 1 species
GAUGAACGCUGGCGGCGUGCUUAACACAUGCAAGUCGAACGAAACACCUUAUUUGAUUUUCUUCGGAACUGAAGAUUUGGUGAUUGAGUGGCGGACGGGUGAGUAACGCGUGGGUAACCUGCCCUGUACAGGGGGAUAACAGUCAGAAAUGACUGCUAAUACCGCAUAAGACCACAGCACCGCAUGGUGCAGGGGUAAAAACUCCGGUGGUACAGGAUGGACCCGCGUCUGAUUAGCUGGUUGGUGAGGUAACGGCUCACCAAGGCGACGAUCAGUAGCCGGCUUGAGAGAGUGAACGGCCACAUUGGGACUGAGACACGGCCCAAACUCCUACGGGAGGCAGCAGUGGGGAAUAUUGCACAAUGGGGGAAACCCUGAUGCAGCGACGCCGCGUGAGUGAAGAAGUAUUUCGGUAUGUAAAGCUCUAUCAGCAGGGAAGAAAAUGACGGUACCUGACUAAGAAGCCCCAGCUAACUACGUG